UUUCCUAUAGAAGAAAUGUAUACACGUGCUGCACUGCAGCAGUUGGUGACCGGAAGUAACGUUCCAACCAGGAAACGGCGUGUGAGAAGACCGAUGCGGAUGUUACCCGCUGCCGCCGGCCUCCACCGCACCAAGGCGGCCAGGGCAGAUACUCUAUUGAAUAUUGAGGUUUUUGGGUACCUGAAAGAAAAUGGUUUGCUUCUUCUAUUGGCAAAGUUGCAACAGGAUGGCACAAUGUCUUCAAACAAUCUGGAUGUUCUAGACUGCUCUGGUGGGCAAUAAAAGCAAGCAUCAGGAUCCAGUGCUGCAGACUACAGAGUUUCGGAUGCUGCUGGACAAGAUGAGUAUUGAGUUCAGUGCACAGGGCAGAUACUCUAUUGAAUAUUGAGGUUUUUGGGUACCUGAAAGAAAAUGGUUUGCUUCUUCUAUUGGCAAAGUUGCAAGAGGAUGGCAAUGUCUUCAAACAAUCUGGAUGUUCUAGACUGCUCUGGUGGGCAAUAAAAGCAAGCAUCAGGAUCCAGUGCUGCAGACUACAGAGUUUCGGAUGCUGCUGGACAAGAUGAGUAUUGAGUUCAGUGCACAGGGCAGCUACUCUAUUGAAUAUUGUGGUUUUUGGGUUCCUGAAAGAAAAUGGUUUGCUUCUUCCAUUGGCAAAGUUGCAAGAGGAUGACAAUGUCUUCAAACAAUCUGGAUGUUCUAGAUGGCUCUGUGGUGGGCAAUAAAAGCAAGCAUCAGGAUCCAGUGCUGCAAACUACAGAGUUUUGGAUGCUGCUGGACAAGAUGAGUAUUGAGUUCAGUGCACAGGGAAGAUACUCUAUUGAAUGUUGAGGUUUUUGGGUACCUGAAAGAAAAUGGUUUGCUUCAUCCAUUAGCAAAUUUGCAAGAGGAAGCCAAUGUCUUCAAACACGGAGGACAGCUGUGUGGGUGACAUUAAAAGCGAGCAUCAGGAUUCAGUGCUGCAGACUAUUGUGUCUCCGAAGCUGCCGGACUCGAUGUUUGUUGACUUCAGUGCACAGGGCAGCUAUUCUAUUGAAUAUUGUGGUUUUUGGGUUCCUGAAAGAAAAUGGUUUGCUUCUUCCAUUGGCAAAGUUGCAAGAGGAUGACAAUGUCUUCAAACAAUCUGGAUGUUCUAGAUGGCUCUGUGGUGGGCAAUAAAAGCAAGCAUCAGGAUCCAGUGCUGCAAACUACAGAGUUUUGGAUGCUGCUGGACAAGAUGAGUAUUGAGUUCAGUGCACAGGGAAGAUACUCUAUUGAAUGUUGAGGUUUUUGGGUACCUGAAAGAAAAUGGUUUGCUUCAUCCAUUAGCAAAUUUGCAAGAGGAAGCCAAUGUCUUCAAACACGGAGGACAGCUGUGUGGGUGACAUUAAAAGCGAGCAUCAGGAUUCAGUGCUGCAGACUAUUGUGUCUCCGAAGCUGCCGGACUCGAUGUUUGUUGACUUCAGUGCACAGGGCAGCUACUCUAUUGAAUAUUGUGGUUUUUGGGUUCCUGAAAGAAAAUGGUUUGCUUCUUCCAUUGGCAAAGUUGCAAGAGGAUGGCAAUGUCUUCAAACAAUCUGGAUGUUCUAGAUGGCUCUGUGGUGGGCAAUAAAAGCAAGCAUCAGGAUCCAGUGCUGCAAACUACAGUGUUUUGGAUGCUGCUGGACAAGAUGAGUAUUGAGUUCAGUGCACAGGGAAGAUACUCUAUUGAAUGUUGAGGUUUUUGGGUACCUGAAAGAAAAUGGUUUGCUUCAUCCAUUAGCAAAUUUGCAAGAGGAAGCCAAUGUCUUCAAACACGGAGGACAGCUGUGUGGGUGACAUUAAAAGCGAGCAUCAUGAUUCAGUGCUGCAGACUAUUGUCUCCGAAGCUGCCGGACUCGAUGUUUGUUGACUUCAGUGCACAGGGCAGCUAUUCUAUUGAAUAUUGUGGUUUUUGGGUUCCUGAAAGAAAAUGGUUUGCUUCUUCCAUUGGCAAAGUUGCAAGAGGAUGACAAUGUCUUCAAACAAUCUGGAUGUUCUAGAUGGCUCUGUGGUGGGCAAUAAAAGCAAGCAUCAGGAUCCAGUGCUGCAAACUACAGAGUUUUGGAUGCUGCUGGACAAGAUGAGUAUUGAGUUCAGUGCACAGGGAAGAUACUCUAUUGAAUGUUGAGGUUUUUGGGUACCUGAAAGAAAAUGGUUUGCUUCAUCCAUUAGCAAAUUUGCAAGAGGAAGCCAAUGUCUUCAAACACGGAGGACAGCUGUGUGGGUGACAUUAAAAGCGAGCAUCAGGAUUCAGUGCUGCAGACUAUUAUGUCUCCGAAGCUGCCGGACUCGAUGUUUGUUGACUUCAGUGCACAGGGCAGCUAUUCUAUUGAAUAUUGAGGUAAUUAAUAUCCUAAAACAGAGGACUUCCGGUGGGUGGCGCAUCCAAGAUGGCCACGUUUUAACUGAGCUCUGCUCACAACGGCCCCAUCCAUCACCAUCCACCCACUCCCCAGCCACCUAUUGGAAUAUUUCUGAUGAGAUUUCCUUCCCCUAACACUGGGAUACCUGUUGCUGCCCGUUUGGAGAAGAUCCGUGGAGUGGAGGCCCUGUUCCCCGGAGUCGGGCCCACGUCCGGGCUGCCGCGUGGCGAGGAUCCGUGCUACCCGCCCUCCCGUUUGGAUUACCCUGCGGUCACUGCCGGCCAGCUUGCCGCACCUUUACCUCGAACUUGGGGAAGUCCGCCGUGCUGUCCCCUCGGGUCGCCGCCUGCCUGCCAUCGGGCUGAAGACUGAGCCCGGAUAUCCGUGGAGCCGCCUUUGGGACGCCUGAGUUGCUAACUGGCCGGCGGAGCUCGAAGCUGAAGAAGGAGCCCACACUUACCUCCUCCCGCUCCUGGGACUCCUGCGGCGGCUGGAUUGGGGCCGCGCUGACAGCCUGCGGUCCGAGGUGUUCGGGGCUCCGUCACCUUGGCCGUCGCUCGGCUCACACACGCGCCGCGGCUCCCCUGCAGGGCAGACUGCCGCUGGUCUAACCCCCUCCGGCGCUGACUCGCCGGUCCUGUCACCUGCUUGCCUGGCUGUCGGGGAAUCUUAUUGCCGCAGCCGCGACCCCUGUGGAUUUGGAUAUCGUUCCUCGUCGAGGCGCCUUCGGUGGUGCGGGAUUCCUUCUCUGGGGGAGACACCUGCUGUUGUGGACAGAUACUGGGGCCUGACCAUUCCCCCACUACAUUUGAUUGAUACCUACACUCUGCCGCUGGAGAAGCGUUGCUGCGCCCUGAAUAUUGCCCAUAUAAUUGUACUGUCCCCUCAUAACCUUGGGGAGAUCCUGAUUGAGCCAGCUGCUUACUUUACCCCACGGAGAUAUAGGGAGAGCUAUUUCAUUGCUGCUGUGACUGGCCUUGAGACACUUUGGGACCCUGUGGCGUUGGCUUGCUCUUUCUAACAGGGGAUCCAUUUAGUUUCCUCAAUACCCUCCUCACUCCCUGCUCACUAAACACUCUUCCUACGUUUCCUUGCCUCUUACUUUUUCCAGUCUCUCCUUUGAAGUGCUUUUCUCCCUGGCACGGUCCCUAUCCCUUUGUUGUUUUCCUUCCCACUUUUCUGCUCUAACCUCCUUUCCUCUUCUCCCCCUAUCCUAGAUCUGCUCUGAUUAUACUAGCCCAUAUAAUGUUCCCAGGUUGCAGAUGUAUGGAUCUACAGUUCUUCACAUAGCACCAUAGCUGGGCCUGGGUGACGCUGACAUCUGGUGGCCACUCCACUGCCUGCAGCAAUUCUAUAUGCAAUAUUGUAUUGUGCAUUACUAUGAUUAUGGUGUAUCUCUAUGCACAAUGCAUACACACAAUUAUUAGUAUUAUUGCUUACUAUUGCCUUUGCCAUUUUUAUGCACAAUUGUUCUUUUACAUGUAAUAAUUAAUACCCGGAUCAGAAUUACCUCCCUUAUAAUACUAGAGUUUGCUGUUUGUUGAUUUGUUACUAUAUACCUAGGAGGUGUGAAAUUCAUAUAUAGUUAUGUGAUAUUUUAUCUACCCCUUUGGGGGCGCUAUACUUUACGAUUUCAGAUGUUUUUCAUCUGAUACUUCUAUUUACUGGUGAACGGUGUCCGAUCCUUUCGGAUCUCUCCUAUUAAACAUUUCAUAAUUGAUGGAGAGGUUUUUGAAUAGAACUGUAUCAGAUAAUAUGGUUAGAAGGAAGUCACAUAAGACAGGUGGUUCUUCCCCCUCUCAGUCGCAGCCUGUAACGAACAUGGAUGGGAACCCCGACCUCAUGUCCCAGCCUGACAUGAUCCCCCCAGUGUCCCAAACUGCCAAAGAGAUCCUUUCGGUACUUAUGCCCCAUAUUGAUAGGAAAUUAGACGAGUUUAAGGAUUCGUUUCAGUCCACCCUGCGAGAAGUAGCCUCGAACACCUCGAGAAUAUCGGAUGUGGAGCAGAGAGUCAGUGAUCUAGAGGACACGGUCCACAAUGUGGAGUCCUCGGCUGACUCGUCCAUUGGCAUGAUCCGGGAGCUCCAAGAUAAACUAGAUGAACUAGAAAAUCGGAAUCGGAGAAAUAAUCUUCGCUUUAUUGGUAUCCCGGAGCAUGUCAAACCCUCCCUCCUGGGUGAUUACCUUGCCUCUCAAUUAGUUCCUGCUCUCCAUAUAUCUGACAAGAUGGAAUUUCCCCAGGUUGAGAGGGUCCAUAGGGUGGGGGCUGAGAGGGAUGGUCCCAAUCCUCCUCCUAGGCCGGUGGUGGCCCGCUACUUUGAUUAUAGGACGAAAGAAAUAAUACUACGUGCAUAUAAAAAAUUGGGCAAAUUAGUUAUUGACGGUACCCGUAUUUUGAUUUUUCAAGAUUUUUCAGUGGCGGUCACUCAGAAAAGAAGGGCGUUCUCACCAGUUUGUAAAUUUUUGGUGGCAUCGCAAAAACAUUUUUGCCUUGCUCUACCCGGCCAAGCUAAGGGUCACUGAUAAUGGCCGUACUAUUUUCUUUGACGACCCAGAUGAAGCCCGUAAACACUUCCUGUCCUCUCCCUCCUCACAGAGUUCACCAGUAACGAUGUCCCUGAGGUCUCCCAAUCGCUAAAUGUGUAUGUUAAUACGAAUAUUGUUUAUGUACUUUAAUACUGUUUUCCAUUUGACGGUGGGGGACGAGGGUUUAUCUUUUUAUUCGCCCCUCUUUAGUUAACAGUUAUUAUGUUAUUACAUAGGAGACUGGUUCUCCACAUCCUGUUUACUGUUUAUUUUUUGUUGAUUCUAAUGGUUGGUCGCAGUGUCGCCACUGUGAUCCUCCAAGAAAAUUUUUGGUUUGAGAAAAUUCAGAAACUGUUAUUGAAGCAUGAUUUUUUCUUUCUUGACAAUUGUGACACGUAUAAUCUACUAUACUCCCAAAUGUUCAUAUUGUAUUUUGGUGCACUGGUGGAGGAGAGAUGGGAACACCUGGCCGAGAUUGUGAUCAGUGGAAUGCCCUCUGCUUGCUGGGACAGGGGGCCUCGCCAUACAUUAAUGGGACUGUGGGGUAGACUCAGUGCAGUGAACACUGGGAUUGGAUAAUGGCAAGUCAUACACAUAAUUUACCGUACUCGCCUCCCCACGACUCAAUUAAAUGCCUAUCAUGGAAUGUGGGUGGGCUCAAUUCCCCCAUUAAGCGUCAAAGGGUCCUAUCCCACCUUAAGAAAUUUAGCCCAGAUAUCAUUUUUCUACAGGAGACCCACUGGAGGGAGGGUGAUGGUUCCUCCCUUCGCGCUGGUUGGUUAGGUGAUUGUUUUUCGGCCUCAACUGGCAAUAAAACCAGAGGGGUGGCUAUCCUUUUUGCAAGACACCUCCCAUACACUGUCUUAAACAUUGUCGUGGAUCCUGAUGGCCGAUACUUACUGAUAGAUGUUAAGAUUGGAGAUGCCGCAUACACUCUUAUGAAUAUAUACGCUCCUAAUACUCAAGUGUCCGAAUUCUUGAUUAAGGUGACCUUCUUGAUACAACAGCGAGAGACUUAUCCACUGAUACUUGGGGGUGACUUCAAUACGGUGCAUGAUCCGACCUUGGACAAGACUCCAAUCCCAUCCAAUCGACAUUCUGCUAUUUGGUCUACACUUGUAAAAUUUAUUUUGGGGCUCCAAGUGACUGAUGUCUGGAGACUUUUUAACGCAUCAGAUAAAUCUUUUACUUUUCAUUCGGGAGUUCAUCACACGGUCUCCCGCAUAGACUACUUCUUAGUGGCGAAUUCUCUAAUAUCCGAGGUGACCUCCGCAAAUAUUGCUGAGGUCUUGGUCUCGGAUCAUGCACCGAUUGAGUUCUCAUUUAGGUUGCCACAUACAGGCCCUACACACCGCACCUGGAGAUUCCCUGCAUACCUAUUCCAAUCAGAAAAAUUUAAGGAAUACUUAAAACGUAACUGGUUAGACUAUGUAGACAUCAAUAUCGCACACUGGAAUGACCCGGUCCUUUUUUGGGAGGCAUCGAAGUCCGUGAUGCGAGGCAGUAUUAUAUCAUACGUAUCUAGUCGUAAUAAGAUUCAAAAGGACCAAUAUCGUACCCUUUCCCAUACGGUGCAGACUACGUUUGCCGAGUAUGUGGCAGACUCAUCGGAGGAAAAAUUUAUUAUAUACAAUCAGAAAAUUUUCUAUUAUCCCAAGCUCAAUCGCGCUUGGACUACACGAAAAAUAAAUAUUAUAGAUGGGGUGCCAAGACAGGACGUCUAUUGGCCUCAUUAACCAAAGGCUAUAAACGAAGAAACCAUAUUGUCACUAUUAAAGACACUAGGACCUCUCAUUGUCUGACACAAACUUCUGAUAUAUCAAAGGCCUUUUACGACUAUUAUUGUAAUUUAUAUUCUGCCAGACCAUCAACCCCAGAAUCUUUAGACGCUAUUAUCAGAGAGGCCAACCUGCCUAGUCUAGAUUCAGAACAAAUUGACCUUUUAGACUCGGAAAUUACGGAGGAGGAAGUAAGAAUGGAUAUUUCUUCUUUGCAUACUUGCAAAGCCCCGGGACCAGAUGGAUUCUCGGGAGAAUAUUUUAAAAUUUUGUCCACUGAUAUUGUCCCGACUUUGCUAGAAUUGUAUCUCACUAUCCAUAAAAAACGCCCAUACUACCCCUCUUUUAAUGCUGCCUUUACGACUCUUAUUCCAAAACCCGACCGUGACCCUACAUUAUUGAGCUCCUAUCGUCCCAUUACCCUACUAAAUGUAGAUUUUAAAAUUCUAUCUAAAAUUAUGUCAUCUCGCCUACAAUUAUUUUCCUCCUCCCUAUGUUCAUCUCACCAACUAGGUUUUACCCGAGGCAGACAGUUAGUCAAAGGUAUUCGUACAGCCAUUGCUUCCAUUGUUGCCUCCAAUAAUAACCCCACCGUUCCUAAUAUGCUUCUGAGCCUUGACGCUCAUAAAGCUUUUGAUACGGUAUCCUGGCCCUUUUUAUUUAAAGUCCUAUCAACCAGAAAUUUUGGCUCAGAUUUUAUUAACCUUAUAAAGUUCUUCUAUAGCUCCCCCACUACUCUCCUUUUAGUAAACGGCACGAGGAGCGAUCCUAUUGUCAUGUCUAGAGGUACUCGCCAGGGAUGCCCUCUAUCUCCCCUACUCUUUAAUUUAUCCCUUGACCCCUUACUUCGUAUAAUCGAUUCUUGGCCCACCUUGAAGGGCAUUUUGGUUGGUUCGGUGGAAGUGAAACUCACUGCAUUCGCGGAUGAUGUUCUGAUUUACAUGUCUAACCCUAAACAUUCCCUCAGGCCACUGUUGGAACUGCUUGACAGGGUGGGAUCCCUCUCUGGCUUCUUCAUUAACUUUGAAAAAUCCAGUGCACUCUAUCUGAAAAGAGGUUUUUAUAGAACCUUGUGGGCGGCGCAACUACCUUUGAAUUGGGCCAAAAAGACACUUCCAUACCUGGGUGUUCUUCUCCCCAAAAAUAUUGUAGACCUUUAUGAUAUAAAUAUUGGGAAAAUACUCUCAACACUCACGAGGGACCUUGAUGCGACGGUACAUUUGCCACUUUCCUUUUUAGGAAGGACAAGCAUAAUCAAAAUGAUAUAUUUUCCAAAACUCCUUUACCCGUUACAAGUUCUCCCCCUUUUACUUUCUAGACAAGAUCUCUUACAGAUAACGGCGACCUUUAGAAAAUUUAUUUGGAAUAAUAAGCGCGCGAGAAUUGGUUUAUUUAAAUUAGGUCAGCCUAAAACCAAUGGGGGAGUUAACUUUCCAGAUAUUCUGACAUAUAGUUAUGCUUCCCAUGUUCGUUAUAUUAAAGACUGGUUGUCUGGUACCCAAACCUACUCGGAUUCACUUCUCGAACAAAAUUUUGUUCCUCAGGUGUCUCUGGUAGCCUUUUUACACUUAACUGAUGCCGAGAUUCCCACUGAUUUAUUGAUCAAUCCCCUCUUAAUGACUACGAGGAAAGUUUGGCUAUCCUUGAGACAUAAAUAUAAAUUACAUAAACAUAUAUCUAUCCAUUUACCUUUUUUACAUAACCCGGGCUUUCAAAAUGGAGAAGCCGCCCAUCCUUUCAAUGACUGGAAAUCUUUAGGAAUCUGUAAUAUAGGCCAACUUAUUGACCCUAGAUCCCAUAAACCACUGACAUAUGCGGAGGCCUUAUCUAAAUACCCAUACAUCGGCCCCCAAAACUUUGCUUUCUUCCAAGCCCAACAUUAUGUUAGUACAAUUUCUAGAAUACUACCUGCGACUGAUUGGGAUAGUGAAUUGGACCGAAUGUUAAUGCGACCAGCCCAGUCCAAGGGUGCUAUUUCAUUUUAUUAUAAACAACUCCACACUAUAAUAGACCAUUCUACAUAUAAAACUGGUAUAGCCCAAUGGCUGGAACAUUUUCCUAACCUAGAUGUAGAUAGAUUAUUGCACAUGUUACAUUUCUCAAUAGCCACGUUCCCAGCUGCUAAAUACACAGAGAUGUAUCUUAAUAUCUUUCAUAGAUCUUAUAUUUCUCCUCACAGAGGUUUCUUGAUAGGCCUAUUAGAGGAUCCUUCCUGUCCCAAAUGUGGCCAUCACUCGGCUGAUCUUUACCAUUGUCUAUGGGCCUGUCCACUUUUAAGACCGUUUUGGUUAGCAGUAUGGCGCUUUGCUUCACAACAUUUAGUGAAUUACAUUCCUCCUACACCGGAAUGGGCCAUAUUUGGUAUAAUACCCCCUGGUGUCAGAGUACCCAAACCUGUCAAAAAAUUACUUCUAGCAAUCUCAUCGGCAGCUAGGAAAGCUGUCUUGCACAUGUGGGUCCAUAGCUCUGUUCCAACUCUAAAAAUGUUCAGGGACAAACUAUUUUUUAUUUGUCAUAUGGAUUGGCUGGAGGCCUCACUCCAAAAAGAAUCUCGCACUGAAUCUUUUUUCGCAACAUGGGAAAGUUUUAUUGAAACACUUCCUAUUCAUACUAAAGUGGCCAUAAGCUCCUGUUUCCGCAGCACACUCUGGUAUGAAACCCGGAUUUUUCUUGGAGACCCUCCCGUUACGCUUGAUAGCGCUGAAUAGAAGCUAUGUUGUGUUCCCAUCUCUCUGUAGAUCUAGGGAGUGUCCAGAGAUGUUAUUCAGUAUUCUAUGAUAUUGUACAAAUUGCUUGGCUGUGUGUUCCUCCUGCACCAUGUACCAUGUUUUGCAUUUGCUACAUUAUGUCUUUUUUCUUUUCUUUUUUUAUUAUCCACAAUGUUUACAUGUUUGUU